CAUAAGGUUAUGAUGAAUGUCCUUCUGGCUAAAUCUUUGCAUACAUACUUCAUUUUGUUAGAAUAGAUUUUUAGAAGCAGAAUUUCUGGGUCAGAAGGUAGGACAAACUAAAAUCCAAUAUCAGAUUUUUACCUCCAAAACAAGCUGUAUCGAUUGACAUCCCCUAGCGAUGCAUAAGAAUGUUUGUAUCCCCACCUAGGCCCUCCACCUGUGUUACUAAAAUUCACUUCCUCAAACUGUGCCAACUUAGUGGGUGAAAGGUGCAUGUGAGGGCCUCUAAUCCUCAUUGCAAACUGCACUUUUAAAGGGUGCAAGUAGCAUCUUGGGGAAAAAUAGGAGAGUAGGUGAUGGCUCCAGGGAGGUCAGCUCUGAGCCCCCAGGGAGGGCUGACCUGUGAGAAGAGCAGAGGAGACAAUCUAGCGUGGCUUGAGGUGGCUGCAUUGCCAGUGGGUGCAAAGCCCAGGGACAGGAUUCUUCAUUUUUUCAGAAACCCCCAGGUGGAAGGGGGAGGGCCCCAGGCCAUGAGAAGCAAGAAGGCCAUGAACGAUUCAGAACCUGAGGUCGAGGGACCAUUGGCACGCACGCAGGAUUUUUGUUUUUCCCCCUCAAAGAGACUAUGGUGAUCUUUUUCUGACAACUUACUGGUGCACUAAAAGGGGUUCCUGGAAUAGGGUUGGGGGUGCUGGUGGUGAAUGCUCUUGGGUGAUCAAAAUGCGCCUCUCUCUUAGAGUUUGCCCCGUGCACAGGCUUGGAGUAGGAGCCUGUGUCCUUGUGUCCUCUGAUACUGGGCUGUGCUGCUUGGGGAAGGGAGAAUAAAGACUGCUUUCAUGCACCCAGCUGAGAGGUGGGGCAAGGGACAGCAAGGGCUCCCUUAUUCAUAAACUCCAGAUUUUAGAAAGUUUGCACUGAAGGGCGAACCUGGACAUUGGGAAGAGCAGGAUAUUCCCUCAACGUUCACCUACGCUUUAGGUUUCUGUAAACAAUUCCUGCUUUUACCACAUCAGCCUCAAGGGCCAACUCCUUCUCUUUGGUUUUUCUGCACUGCUGUAGACAGGGCAAGUCUCUAGACAACUUAGUUUCUUAAAAACUGUAGGACAAAAAGGAGAAAUAAACAAGAUAAUUUGACUUCCAAUACGUAGUCACAUGUCUUUGGGUUAGGGUUGCCAGAUGUCUCCCUCGAUUGUUUCCAGUCUGACUCUCAAGUUUGGGAAUCCAAAUUUCAGCCCUACCCCUCAGGGGCACCUACAAGGAACAUAAGCUUCCUUGACGUUCACCUUGGAGAGCUGGCACCAGAGUGAAAUGAGCAGCUCCAGUCCACUCUCUGUGAAUUUAGAGCCAUACCUUGCUCUUACAGUUUGCUUGUCCCCUAGCUAUUAUUUCCUGUUGAUUAUGAUUUUCAAAUACGGUUUUAUCCAAGGCAUAGUUUUGGGCCCAGGUGACAUUUCCCCAUCCUGCACUCCAGCUGGAUUCUUCAUUAGCCUCUGCAUUCAUUCCCUAGGGCUGCUGUGAAAGAUGACCACAAACUAGGUGGCUUAAAACAACAAAAAUUUAUUCUCUCACAGUUCUGGAGGCCAUAAGUUUGAAAUCAAGGUGCCAGCAGGGUUGGUUCCUUCUGGAGCCUAUGAAGGAGGCUUCCGUUCUUUUCUUCUUUGCAUGUCUUCUCUUCUUAGGAAGACACCAGCCACUGGAUUCAGAGUCUACCCCAAUCCGGUAUGACCGCAUGUUAAGUGGGAACAUUAGCAAAGACUCCAUUUCCAAAUAAGGUUACAUUCUGAGGCGCUGGGUGGACAUGAAUUAUUUCGGGCAACCAUUCAGCCCAUUGCGGUCUCUCUGCCUUCAGACUCCUCUUUCUACCUGUCCAUGCCACGGACCCUGUGGGAGUCAUUUUUUUUAACCUUCCUGUAGUGGAACCACCCCACCCCUGCUUUCAAGCCCUUCAAAGACUCCCCACUGCCAACAGAAUAAAGUCUUAUCUCUUUAGCUCAGCUUAUGGAGACUCACCAUAGUCUGGCCCCUAUGAUCUUUUCUACAUUCCAUUUCUCCAUUUCUCCUACACACUCCCUACCAUCCCUGGGAAAGGUCUUCUAUGUUGUUGAACAUGCUGUGGAUGCUCUUUUCUCCUUCCUCCUUCUGUCUAUUGCUGAGACGCUCUUUUUCUCGAACACCCGUGUCAUAUAUCUUUCCUUGUUCAUGAGGACGUUUCUAGCCAGCCCAGGUCAAAGGGCUCACCUCUCUCCACAGACCAACCCUAGCCCACACGGUGCACCAUUCCUCAGUCUGUAGUGUGGCUGUCCUCUACUGGUGACAUUUCCAUUUUGCAUUUCCAUUUUACCCAGGGGCAAGCCUGUGUGCUAUACUUCUUUGGGUCCUUGGUUUUGACAAUGGUGUUCGGAACAGGUGGCUUCAUGGUCAAUGAUUUUGUAUGCUGCUGCUGGUGUGAGCAUGCUGAAUUACUCCAUGCCUGCAGCUCCCUCUAAAGCUGAUGGAGAGCCCUGUGCUGAGAUGAAAUGUGGGGAAAGGAGAAAUUUGUUGCCACUUUGAGAGUCAAAGGCAGUGGUCUUUCCAAGGAAGAGUGAACUAGCAGAAUCACUGCAGGAGAAGCAAAUUCUGGAGGCUGGAUGCCAAGAGGUGCUGUAAGAAAAGUUGUAAAGAUAUAUGUGGGGGAAACCACUGCUCCCAUCCUCCUUGGGAGACAAUUGGUAAACGAUAUAGUUGGCAAAGGAUAGGGACUGGGAGGGAAGUAAAAGAGGAGACAGAGUACAAUGAACAGAAUAGAUGCCAAUGGCCUCAUCAGCUUUAACAGAUGAUCUGAAAACUUUAAAGUAACAAGGAAGUUUUUAUUCCCAUAAUUGUUAGUAGUGUCUUUUGCUAGCUCCUCCGAUGUGACAGUGAUUGACCAUUGGCAGCUGGGUCUUCAAACUCUCUUCUAAAAUGUUGCAUCUCUAUGGGGACACAUGAGGAACUUAGUUCUUCUAUCUGGAAGUAGGUGUCCUCUAAGAUUUCUUGUGUUGCGUACUCUGUAUCCUUUUUUUUUUUUGGGCUAUGUCUCAGUUGCAUCAAAGCCCCAUUAACAUUGCCCUUUGGGAUCAAAAAGUAGGCCACCCGAGAAGAAAGAGUAGAGUUUUAGAGAACUGGGGUGAGAAUUCUGGGCAGAUGGCCAAGGUGUGGGCUCUAGGCUGAGCUCGCUGACACAUGACAUUGUGUGUUUCAGGUACUGGGACAAGUUUUCAAUGUCAAAAUCUUUGAAGCCACCAGGGCCUUUUUUGUUUUUGUUUUUUGGCUGUCUUGGCAGUACUCCUUCAUAUAGUAGUAGGUUCAGAAACUCAGGCUAAGGAAAGCAUCCAGAAAAGAUUGUCUGCCUCUGCAACAGUUUGUGGAUAGCUUGUAAUUGUAGUUCUGAUCUUGUCAACCUGUCUUAUAACUCUAAAUGUGUGGUCUCACCUGGCUAGAUAUAGAAAAUACCUAUCUUCUUAUAGAAGCAGGCAAUCCUCAACCCCAUUAAAAAAUUAUGGUUUCUUGGACAUUCCAUCUAAUAGGAAUGCCAGUUUGCCUCCUGAUAUGUUGCCAGUCUGGCCAUUUCAGCAGUCACUAUUCAGCACUAGAGGAGGACUUCAGUAAAAGUUCCUUUGUCAGUAAGUCUUCCACGCAACAUAUUUGUUUCCAGGUCCUAAUGGCAAUUCCUCAGGAUCUGGAGAAAAAAAAAAAAAAAAAAAAAAAAAAGAAAAGGAUCAACUCUCACGUUUGAGUUUGUCCCAUUCAUCUGCAUAAAGACUAUCCAUCAGUUUGAAGUGUCUUUUUGAGAAUCAGAAAGGGGAGAGGAUAUAGGGAGCAAAGGAUGUAUUCUUUGAGAUCCUGCUCUUAAGCAGUGAUUCUUCUCUAGCACUCCUUAUUUCUAGAAUUUUCCAGCCAUCUCUAACAAAAGCAAAGUGCAAAGAGCAUUUAAUACAAACCAAAAGGUGAAAUGAUCUUUUGAUAGUUCAGUGUUGUGGCUGUGACUUGGAAUUUUUCACUACAUUAAAAAAAAAAAAAGCCACAUAUGCCCGGGUAGUCUCUGCAUCAAGUCUCAUACCAUUGCUCCGACGUUACGAGGCUGAGGCAGUUGUGGCUGAUUGAUGUCACUCUUCUAGCCAUUUCCUAUUUCCACAGAGAGAGGCCGGGUUAAUCCAACUCCAGUCUAACUUCGGAGACAUCAAGGAUUCUAGGCAGCGUGUCCCGUGUUUCUUUUUCCAAGUGAAUUCCUGGAGGAAAACAAUGAGGUCCAUGUGUCUUUGCAUCCCCAGGGACCAGCUCAGUAAUGGGCAUAUAAGAACACGCUGAAAAAAAUUGUUUUGUUUUUGAACGACAACGAUUUAAGAGUAGUAAGAUCCUCGUAAAUAUAGGACAUUGUACUCGUGUUUUUCUUCCGAGCAUACAAAUAUUUGCAAUGAGGUUGCACCGCAGACUCCACAGCCAUUGUGGCACCUGCGGCUCUGUGACUUGGAGGCAGAGGAGAUGGAAUGCCGGUGAGAAGAAGGAGAUUGUGGUGUGAAUGUGAGGGAUGAGGGUGAAUUAGUUUUCUACGGCGGCUGUUACAAAUUUACCACAAGAUAAAUGAGUUAAAACAGUACAGAUUUAUUAUCUCGCAGUUCUGGAAGACAGAAGUUCAAACUACUGGCAAAGUUCAAAGUGUUGGCAAGGCUGUGCUCCUCAGGAGACUCUAGAGGAGAACCUUUUUCUUGCCUUUUCCUGUUUCUAGGGGCCACCUGCAUCCUUCGGCUCAUGGCCUCUUCCUCCAUCUUAAAAGCCAGCUUCUGCAAAUUCGUCUCUAAUUCUGACACUACUUCUCUUGCCUCCCUCUCUCAUUUAUAGGGGUCCCUGUGAUGACAGUGAGCUCACCCUGAUAAUCGAGGCUAAUCUCCCCAUCUUAGGGUUAGCCUAUUAGCAACCUAAAUUCCACCGUCAACUUUAAUUCCCCCCUUGCCAUGCACCGUGACAUAUUCACAGGUUCUGGGGAGGAGGGCAUGAGCAUCUUUGUCGGGGCAUUGUUCUGUCCAUCACAGAGAAGCACUCAGAGAUUCCGGACUCCAGUAUCCUCAUUGUCCACUUGAGGAAGCUUGGGCUCAGAGGCUUUAUGUUAAUUCCAACAGUUUUUGCAACAGGAGGAGGAGAAUAUCUGUCCAGGAGCCCUAAUCAAGACUCAGCAGGAGGCUGGUGGCUUCCUUUCCUUCCUUCUUUUGCUUCCUUCCUGUUCUUCCUGUGCUUCCUUUCAGUUCUUCCUUCUACAUAUGGGGCCCAUCACAUUCCCACUGACUCAGAUGCUGAGGGGCCAGACUGAAGGGACAGUGGCCAUUGCAUCAAGUCAGAGAACGGAUCUGACCCAUCUAGUAGAAGCUUAUUGUUUUGGCAGAAGCAUAAGCUCUUAGAGGUGCAGCUGCAGGGUAUGACCUAUUGGGGACAUUGAGCUCAGUGACCAUGGGCCCUGAGAGUCUGAAAUCCUGGAAUUUCUCCCAAAACGAAGUCCAUGUAGGGAAGCCAAAGUGUGAGUCUUAACCCGGCUGGUUUACAACUGACUGACAUUUGCUGCCUGGGCAGCUGCUGUGGGUGCCCGGAAACCCUAUUGGACUAGGACUGGCCCCGGCAAAAAACAAGUGUUAUAGCUGCCCAGUGUCCUCUGAGUGGAUGCUGGUGAUUCUGGUAUGGAGCCCAGAUGUAAGGCAGCAGUGGUCCAGAAGGCACCAGAAGAGGUCUCCUGUCAAAGUCAGGGCCAGAGAAGAAGGCACAGGAAACCUACUGCACGAGACUUUCACUUGCAACGAGCAACCCAUGAUGAGGAGGGAGGAUUCCUGGGGGCAUUGAGUCGCAUCCAUAAGGACACCUUUUCCAAGUUACUUCAUUUUGUAUAGCUGCACAGUCCCUCACCCAUAUCACCAUACCAAGAGCUUGCAGCUGACAAGAAUACAUCUUCUGACCAAGAUCCCUUCUGGGACCAAGGACACAAGGACCCAAGACCUUCUUGCUUGGAAAGUGAAUUCCUGAGAAUUCCGAGAUGAUGCCAGUCUUGGAGGAAGACGACAUGAGGACCCAAAACCUUCUUGCUUGGAAAGUGAAUUCCUGAGAAUUCCGAGAUGAUGCCAGUCUUGGAGGAAGACGACAUGAGGACCCAAAACCUUCUUGCUUGGAAAGUGAAUUCCUGAGAAUUCCGAGAUGAUGCCAGUCUUGGAGGAAGACGACAUGAGGACCCAAAACCUUCUUGCUUGGAAAGUGAAUUCCUGAGAAUUCCGAGAUGAUGCCAGUCUUGGAGAAAGAUGACAUGAGGACCCAAAACCUUCUUGCUUGGAAAGUGAAUUCCUCAGAACUCCACGAAGACUCCAGUCUUGGAGGAAGACGAGGUGUUGAGAGAUAGCUGGGAUCCCUGAGGAAGGCAGCCCCAGUCUCCGGUGGAGAAUUAAGAGGGGCCCAAGCAGAUGGUUGGUGGUGGAAAUGUCACCUCAGUAUAGUACUAUGGAGUUUCCUUUCACCCCCAACAGCCGAUGGUUUCCAGGGGCGAAGAGUGAAAAUUGAAGCAAGGUGUCUAUUGUCCAGCUGUAGACAAGGAGGCAGUGCGCCUGCCACCCGCAAGGAAGAGUCAGUUCAGAAGCACAGCAGCUGCUGGAAACCCAGGAAGUUUCCAGUUCGUUCCUGCUGGGACUUGGCAAGAACUGCACUGUCAAGGCUGCAAGAGGCUCCUGACGGCUUCUGACAUGUACAGAAUGGAAUAAGAGAACCUAGCAGAAAUGGAAGCAGAGGCAAGAGGUCUGGAGGCCAGGAAAAUGUCAAUGGAAAGCAGCUAGCAUGAAGACCCCACAGUGUUCCUCCCUCUAGUAGUCUGGUAUUAUUUGGAGCUGAGAUGCUCCCAAUAUGGUUGGGACAUUUGUCCCCUCCAAAUCUCAUGUGAGAAUUUGAUCCCCCGUUUUGGGGAUGGGGUCUAAUGGGAGGAGUUUGGGUCAUGAUGGGGGACCCCUCAUGAAUGGCUUGGUGCCCUGCUCACCAGGAAUGAAUGAGCUCUCACUCUACUAGUUCACUGGAGAGCUGGUUGUUUAAAGAGCCUGGCAUCUCCCCCACUUUCUCUCUUGCUCCCCCUUCUCACUGUGUGAUAUACCUGCUCCCCUUUGCCAUCCAUCAUGAGUGGAAGCUUCUUGAAGCCUCCACCUAAAGCAGAUGCCGACACUAUGCUUCCUGCACAGCCUGCCAUACCAUGAGCCAAUAAACCUGUUUUCUUUGUAAAUUA